rnacentral:rRNA from 1 species
UGGGGAAUAUUGCACAAUGGGCGCAAGCCUGAUGCAGCCAUGCCGCGUGUGUGAAGAAGGCCUUCGGGUUGUAAAGCACUUUCAGCGAGGAGGAAGGUGGUGAGCUUAGUACGCUCAUCAAUUGACGUUACUCGCAGAAGAAGCACCGGCUAACUCCGUGCCAGCAGCCGCGGUAAUACGGAGGGUGCAAGCGUUAAUCGGAAUUACUGGGCGUAAAGCGCACGCAGGCGGUUUGUUAAGUCAGAUGUGAAAUCCCCGGGCUCAACCUGGGAACUGCAUUUGAAACUGGCAAGCUAGAGUCUCGUAGAGAGGGGUAGAAUUCCAGGUGUAGCGGUGAAAUGCGUAGAGAUCUGGAGGAAUACCGGUGGCGAAGGCGGCCCCCCUGGACGAAGACUGACGCUCAGGUGCGAAAGCGUGGGGCAGCAAACAGGAUUAAAUACCCUGGUAGUCCACGCUGUAAAGCG